rnacentral:lncRNA from 1 species
AAUUCACAGCAAAAGAUUGAAAAUGAGAGAUUACAAUGAUUGGAUAAAAAUUAUGAGACUGAAUGAAGAGAGAUAGCAGGUUGUGAGACUGUACGAAGGGAGAUGGAUGGAGAUUAUGAAAUUGAAUGAAGGAUGAUUAGUGAUUGUGAGACUGGAUGAAGGGAGAUGGAUGGGGAUUAUGAAAUUGGAUGACAAAAGAUCAUUGAUUAUGAGAUUGGACGAAGGGAGAUGGAUGAAGAUUAUGAAAUUGGAUGAAGAAAAAUCGGUGAUUAUGAGACUGGAUGAAGAGAGAUGGAUGGAGAUUAUGAAAUUGGAUGAAGAUUAGUAAUUAUGAGACUGGAUGAAGGAAAAUGGAUGGGUAUCAUGAAAUUGAAUGAAGGAAGAUCGGCGAUUAUGAGAAUGGAUGAAGGGAGAUAGAUGGAGAUUACGAAAUUGGAUAAAGGAAGAUCGGUUACGAGAAUGGAUGAAGGGAGAUGGAUGGAGAUUAUGAAAUUGGAUGAAGGCAGAUCAGUGAUUAUGAGACUGAAUAAAAAAAAAUAGAUGGAAAUUAUAAGACUAGAUAAAGAGCGAUAGGCGGGUUAUAAGAUUAUAUCAAGAA